rnacentral:rRNA from 1 species
UACAGAGGUCCCAAGCGUUGUUCGGAUUCACUGGGCGUAAAGGGUGCGCAGGUGGCAUGGUAAGUUCGAUGUGAAAGCCCCGGGCUUAACCCGGGAAAGGCAUUGGAUACUACUGUGCUGGAGGAUUGGAGGGGGGACUGGAAUUCUUGGUGUAGCAGUGAAAUGCGUAGAUAUCAAGAGGAACACCAGUGGCGAAGGCGAGUCCCUGGACAAUACCUGACACUGAGGCACGGAAAGCCAAGGGAGCAAACAGG